CGCCAAUUGUUAUACAGAUGUCAUUAAUAAAGCUAGUUCUUUGCUGUUAAAAUUUAUUAAGCUAACAGUGCAAUACCUCUUAGCAAACUAGCUUCACUAUCCUACAUGUCCUCUACGAACAAAUGAAAAGCAAAUAGAGAUGACACUAAUAAGAAAGUUUAAUCUAUAGUGUGAAACCAAUUUCAAGUCAUAAUUUACAACUCAACUCUCUGUACCUAUACAUACAGCUACCUAACCUUCAAAGUAUAAGAUGCAGGUGAAAGCUGCACCCUCCAAUCCCUACACACAAAUGGCGAAGACUGCAUUCUCAAGCUCUACUACUGUCCACAAUCAAUAAUAUGAGCUCUACCAAGGGCCUGUCAGUGUCCUCCGCAAGCAUUGCCUUUUAGAUCCCCGUUGCCCAUUUAUUGUGUCUAAAAACUGAUUUUUCUGCAUUUCCAUAAUUUC
rnacentral:misc_RNA from 1 species